UCACAUCUUCUUUAUCGGUAUCAACUCGUCAAAAAAAAUGAAUCUGUUUCUUCCCUAACCCCUUUCUUAUAAAUUAAGAGCAAUCGAUGAUUUUCUUCAAAGUGGGUUUUUAUUUUAUUGUAAUUAUGGUUUAGAUCUUCGAAUUGAGUGAUGGUGUAAUAGGGGAAAUCUGAGAUAUUUGAAGUGGGGUUUUGUAAAUAGAGGGAGAAGAAGCAAAACAGUGAGAGAGUUUGAUGGAGAAAGGUAUCAGAAAUUUUCCUUCUCUACUAACAGUUAAGUUUCUGACGUUCCAUUUCUCUAUUUAUUUACAUAUGCUUAUAAUUUGUUUGACAAAAUUACGCUUAGAAUUUUCUCUCGGUUUUGGUUAGUUUAUUCUUGACGAGCUUGAUUUGUGUUUUCAGAUGGAGAUUUGAUCUUUAAUGAGAUUGUUUGAAAGGGAGUUAGAUGAUGAAUAGGAGAAUUUUAGUCACCACUACUGCAUAAUGGAUUCAAUGCUCAAGGAUGACAUGAAAGUUCCACAUAUGUCACUUGGCAGUGAGAAUGAUGCCAGUGUGGCGUGGUUGGAUAAAUGUUUUACCAUAUGGUUGCAGAUUCUCAAAGUUAUUGCACAGACCCGUCAGAGUUCGAAAGCUCAAAGUAUGGUGGUGAUUACAUGUCUUGGUGGUGCAUUUCUUGGGUUCGUUUUAAGUGGUUUGAUAGGAGAUGUUGUAGGGCGUCUUAGAGGUUUUCAGUUGAGUGCUUUGGCGAUGAUUCUGAGCGCGAGAACAGAAAGCUUGGAAGCCUGGAGCACGAACGGGUGUUGGUCCUUCUAUUGCUUCUCUAUAUGGCUGAGAUAUGCUUUUCUCUGAUCCAUGUUGUCCCCAGGUGAUAUGUGUUUCCGGUUAUCUGCAAUUCCUGCUGCAAUAUCGUCUUCUGCAACAGAGUCCUGUGCGAAGAGUCCUCAGUGGCUUCAAAAGGAGGGUAUGCUGUUAAUAUUCUUCCCGUGCAACAAAAUAAAAGGGAGAGAGGGCAUGGAGCCACAGAAGCUGCAGUAGUUGAUGCUCGCAGAAUGAUCUUGAUGGAACUUUGCAUUUCUAAUUUAUUAACCAUUACUCAUAAAGCAUGCAGUGAAGGCCUCUCUAAGAGUCUCAAGCAAGUUGAAAUCAUGUAUUUUCCCCCUUUCAGUAGGAUCCAAUCUUCACAGAGGAUUUGCUUAAAGUGUUCCAGUGAUAACCAAAAACACAUUCUAUACUACCUCAACGUAGAUUAGAAUCCAACAUUGGAGUUUUAAAGUAAAAAAAAAAAGAACAGUUUUGGAACUACUUGUGAUCACCCCCUUUUUGGGUAAUGUUUUUUGUACAAGAAUCUAUAUGCAAAUUGUUGUAAUUCUUGAAAAACGUUGGUGAGCAAUUAGCUUUUUAACUGUUGGAAGGUCAGUUGCCAACAAUGGAGAAGGCAAGGAUACGUGAGAACUUGGUUUUCACUUUGAAUUGUUGAACUGAGUGUUAAAAGUUUCAGAUUUUGAUUGGAAAGAUAUGUUAUGUGUUGUUGGAUUUGUAAAAGAGUUCGGUUUAAACUUAGUCGCUCAUGUUAAUCUUUUUUAC